GAAUUGAAGAGUUUGAUCAUGGCUCAGAUUGAACGCUGGCGGCAGGCUUAACACAUGCAAGUCGAACGGUAACAGGAAGAAAGCUUGCUUUCUUUGCUGACGAGUGGCGGACGGGUGAGUAAUGCUUGGGAAUCUGGCUUAUGGAGGGGGAUAACUACGGGAAACUGUAGCUAAUACCGCGUAAUAUCGAGAGAUUAAAGGGUGGGACCGCAAGGCCACCUGCCAUGAGAUGAGCCCAAGUGGGAUUAGGUAGUUGGUGAGGUAAAGGCUCACCAAGCCGACGAUCUCUAGCUGGUCUGAGAGGAUGACCAGCCACACUGGAACUGAGACACGGUCCAGACUCCUACGGGAGGCAGCAGUGGGGAAUAUUGCACAAUGGGGGGAACCCUGAUGCAGCCAUGCCGCGUGAAUGAAGAAGGCCUUCGGGUUGUAAAGUUCUUUCGGUAGCGAGGAAGGCAUUUAGUUUAAUAGACUAGAUGAUUGACGUUAACUACAGAAGAAGCACCGGCUAACUCCGUGCCAGCAGCCGCGGUAAUACGGGGGGUGCGAGCGUUAAUCGGAAUAACUGGGCGUAAAGGGCACGCAGGCGGUGACUUAAGUGAGAUGUGAAAGCCCCGGGCUUAACCUGGGAAUUGCAUUUCAUACUGGGUCGCUAGAGUACUUUAGGGAGGGGUAGAAUUCCACGUGUAGCGGUGAAAUGCGUAGAGAUGUGGAGGAAUACCGAAGGCGAAGGCAGCCCCUUGGGAAUGUACUGACGCUCAUGUGCGAAAGCGUGGGGAGCAAACAGGAUUAGAUACCCUGGUAGUCCACGCUGUAAACGAUGUCGAUUUGGGGGUUGGGCUUUAAGCUUGGCGCCCGUAGCUAACGUGAUAAAUCGACCGCCUGGGGAGUACGGCCGCAAGGUUAAAACUCAAAUGAAUUGACGGGGGCCCGCACAAGCGGUGGAGCAUGUGGUUUAAUUCGAUGCAACGCGAAGAACCUUACCUACUCUUGACAUCCAGAGAACUUUCCAGAGAUG
rfam:Haemophilus sputorum HK 2154 ctg120006325153, whole genome shotgun sequence.